UACAGUGCUUGAUUUGACUGAAUGUUGCCCCAUAAGAGAGCAAAUGAGCUCCAGCCAGAAUCACACUCACAGACAGACUCUCUCUCUAUCUGAAGGCUCUGUGGAGCUCUGGGUUUGCAUCUUUUUGCUAAUAUUCUCUACGGCUUUGGAGUUUGGGCAAGAAAAAGAGUCGCAUUGGGAUUACCAGCCGUUUAUUAUUUCUUUCAUCUUUUCUCUUUACGACUCUUUUACUCGCCUCUGAUCUCUGUAACGUCUCCCCUUUCACUGACGCACAUAUGAUGUACCAACCCGUUUUUCUUCAUCGAGCUGCUGGAGCUUCCGUUAAUGGUUGUUUCUCGCUUCUGCGUUUCCUACGCUGAGUCUGAGAGAAGAAACCAAUAAUUGCAAAUACUGGAGGAGUACCCAAAAGAUAUCUGGUCUAUGGAAUAUCCUUCAGAGCUUAAAAGCAACUCAAGCAAUCGACAAGCUAUAGGAACUUCUGAGAAGCCCUUAUUGCCCCAGACAUGUCAAGGUAUAAAGCUGCAAGGAAGAUUAAAACCUGAAAAGCCUAUUCUGUCAUGUCAUGAUUUUCAACAUGAAAUUACCAACAAUCCAAAAGAAUUCCCACCUAAAUCUUCUGAGAAUAUCCGAAAACAACAGAGUGGUAGGAAGGCAAUGGAAGAAGAUGAACUUGUGAAGUUCAUGUCAAAUUUGCCAAGUUAUCUGGAGAGAGGAGAGAAUCUCAAGGAGAAAGCUUUAAAUGUUGGGGUUCUUGACUGGACGAGUCUUGAAAAAUGGCACUAUAGUAAUAAGCAGAUACCUGGUGAGAGUAGCCGCUAUUGGCAAUCUUGUAGCAGUACAUCAAGAUCAUUUUCAACAGAUGGAUCAUCUUCUCUUUCUAGCAAACAUCACAGUCGCUCUCCUGCUCGUCCUAGAAGGCGCCGUCCUUCAUUGCAAUACCAUCUGAUGGCAUCUCCAAUAGAAGGUCAUUCUCCAAGUCAUGAUGUAAAAGCCUUUCGGAGAAAUUUUGGAAAUUUUCAAGAUCUUAAUCCUGCAAAGAAUAACAUCUUGAGCGGCCAGGGGAAGUUCAUCAGAACAGAUCAGCCCUCUUGUAAUCCGGUAAUCAAGCCAGAAGAGUACAAGAGAAAGGAUUCAGGCACAAAGAUUAAUCAAGAAAGUGGUUUUAUUGGAAAUAAUCGGAAUUAUGAGGCGGCAUCAUGUACAAACUUGAAGACAAAGAUUCAAGAUGGUGAAAUUAAGAAGAGAGUAGAGAAGUUACGACAAACAAAUUCAAUUGGUAUGGACCAUGAUGUCAAUGCAAAACCUGAAACUGCCGUUCACAUUUUGCCAAAAGAUCUCCCCCAAAAACAUCAUUCUAGAAUGUCCCAGUCUUCUUAUUCGACAGCAUCUUUAAGUCGUAAAUCAGCAGAAGCAAGCCGAAGGAGCUUUACAGAGAGAUCCAAGGAGAUUUUCCAUGCAGAACUUUCUAGCAUCCCACACUCGUGCCCGCUGCCUUGUGAAGUUGACAAUGAACACUCUUACUUAAAGCAGACCUGCAUUAAAGCUGCGGAGAGUGUCAACUUUUUAUCUGAUACAUCUAGCCCAAUGCCAUGGUCAGCUAAAGUAGGAAUCAGUUCAUCCAGAUCCAGGAAUUAUGGAGAGAAACAAACAAUCUUAACACCAAUCAAUAGAAUAAACCAACCUUUAAAGGGGUUGGAUGUGAACAUAAACAAAUCUAUGGACGAAAAGGUACAAAGCUCUUCACCUUUCCGGCGGUUUAACAUUGGUUUGGGCAAGAUAAGUAAAAGUUUCAGCUCCAAAGAGGGUUUAGAUACGCAGCAUAUGAGCUCAACAUAUACUUUAUCCAAAUCUGGUUCAAAGAAAAUUGGGGCUUCUACUUACUUGGAUAUGUCGAACAAUGAUAAACUCACUGCUACAGGCAGAGCCAGGUCCAGCCCUCUGAGAAGAUUACUUGACCCAUUACUGAAGCCAAAGGCAGCCAGCUGCCAUCACCUUGUGGAGCCAUUACAGGGAGAAUCAAUAUCAACGGAUAGAACUGCUAAAAAUUCCAGCAAACAAUUUGAUUCCCAAGCCGUGUAUGCUGGCAAACCAAAAUUAGAUACAACUGUUCAAGCUUUUCUGCGAGUAGCAAUUAAAAAUGGCCAGCCUCUGAUCACAUUUGCAGUUAACAAUGACAGUGAUAUUCUUGCAGCCAAGGUGAAGAAGUUAAGUAUCUCAAGAAAAGGCGACUACAACUUGAUUUAUACCUUCUUCACGAUUCAAGAAGUCAAGAAGAAGAACGGGAGUUGGAUAAAUCAAGGAGGCAGAAGCAAAGGAAAAGGUCCUGAUUACAUUCCUAAUGUCGUUGCACAAAUGAAGGCUUAUGAUUCAGAGUUUUCCAAUUUGAUUGGACAGCCUUGUAUGGAUCAUUUCAGUACGAGAGAAUUUGUUCUUUUUUCUGUUGACCUAAAACAGGCAGAUCAUCAAACCUGUGACUUCCAGCCAAAUAACGAGCUUGCAGCUGUUGUUGUCAAAAUUCCAAAAAGUAUCAAUAAAACUCCAAUCGGAGAUGGGUGUAAAAGCAAUAACCGCAAUGACUUGUUAGGGGUUGGUUCAAAAGAGUGUGGGAUGGGAUGUUAUUACAGCACUGGGGGACAUGUCCAGAAGCUGCCUUUCAAUGGUACUAGGAACUUUGUUACCCCAACAGUCAUACUUCCAAGUGGUGUGCAUAGUCUACCAAGCAAGGGAGGACCUUCAUCGCUGAUCGAACGCUGGAAAACAGGGGGAUUAUGUGACUGUGGAGGGUGGGAUUUGGGUUGCAAACUUCGGGUUCUUUCUGACCAGAAUCAUAUUAAUAACAAAUUGGAUUCAUCCAAAGCUUGUUCCAUAACAGAUAAAAUUCAACUAUUCUGUCAGGAUGAUGUUCAAGUAAUCCUGCCUUUCUUCAGUUUGGCCCCUUUGAAGGACGGGAUCUAUUCAGUCGAGUUCAAUUCUUCAUUGUCGAUUUUACAAGCAUUCUCCAUUUGUAUAGCUGUAUUAGACAGUAAGAAACCAUGUGAGCUUUCCAAACCCAGAGACUCUGUCAAAGAAAAAACUUGGGAGGAAACAAGAUUGACACAAAGUGAUAGAAUAAGGACUCCAAAUCGAAUUGAAGUUGUUCCUGCAAGGUAUGCCUCAUUUCCACCCCUAUCUCCAGUUGGGAGGGUCUAAUGUGCAUAAUCAUCUUGCAGUUUUGGUCAAUAUGUUGUGUCAGCUUGAUGGGCAAUGUACAAAACCUACAAGGGUUUUGCUGUGGAUCAAAGUCAGUCUAUCAUCGGUGUGUUCAGCCAAGUAGAAAACGAUCUUUAUACUCAUCAUGCACACUUUAGUAGCAGGAAAAGUAUCUGGAGCACCUUAGUUGUUUUGUGACUUUUGACUGGAGAAGCAACAGCAAAUGUAAUAUGAGAGAAGCAGUCUUCUUCGAUUCUGGAACAGAAAAAAGAAGUGCUGUGCCGAGGUUGAAGUGUGGAGUUGCCGAGAACUUUCCUCUCUGAUGGAAGGUCAAACGUGCUGCAUUUCGUGGGACAAUGUGCUUUGUUUUCUACUUUGCUUGCUUCACGGUAAAAGCACUAUACUCGUAUUACAAAGAAGACUGGUGUCAGUGUCACAUGGAUACAACUAUUUUUUAAUUUUUGUCCAAUUCUUUAAUAAAAUAAUAAAAUGGGCCAACUCUGAUUAGGCACGGUGUUGCCUAUCUACGAG